AUCAACUUUUGAAAGUUGGCAAUACCUAGUCUAGCAAACAUAAGGAAGACUAACUCACCCAUUUGUUUAUUGAGCUCCUUAUCUUGAUUCCUAAUAGGCAAUGACUAGAAUUAAAGAAGGUGACUAAUACUUGAAAUGACAUGGGACUGUUAUUUUCAGAUAAUUUGGUCUUUCUGAAGCUGUAACAGUACCAAUAAAUUGUUUUGCUCCCUGGACAGGCUUGAGAAGGAGAAAGCAGAAAUUGAACGCAUGCGAAACCUGACUGAGGAAGAGAGGAGAGCUGAACUUCGGGCAAACGGCAAAGUCAUUACCAACAAAGCUGUUAAGGGCAAAUACAAGUUCUUACAGAAGUAUUAUCACCGGGGUGCCUUCUUCAUGGAUGAGGAUGAAGAAGUAUACAAGAGAGAUUUCAGCGCUCCUACCCUGGAGGAUCAUUUCAAUAAAACCAUUCUUCCUAAAGUCAUGCAGGUCAAGAACUUUGGACGCUCAGGUCGCACCAAAUACACUCACCUUGUGGAUCAAGAUACCACCUCCUUUGACUCAGCUUGGGGCCAAGAGAGUGCCCAGAACACAAAGUUCUUCAAACAAAAGGCAGCUGGGGUACGAGAUGUAUUUGAGCGGCCAUCUGCCAAGAAGCGGAAAACUACCUAGGGUCCAACUGCUUAUUCUUCCAACUGUGGAACACAAGGGGAAGUCUCAGCAUCUGGUCCUUCAUUUGGUUUUUUCAUUGUUUCCUUGGCCCCUGUAUCCAGAUAUUGGACUUACUGCUAUACUUGUGAUACUGGGUAGCCCAGACUUUGAAGGUGCUUUGUGAGGUUUGGACUCAUGCUGAGAAACCCA
rnacentral:sRNA from 1 species